GGGGUUGUGGCUCAGUGGUAGAGUACUUGCCUAGCAUGUGUGAGGCACUGGGUUCAAUUCUCAGCACCA
rfam:Ictidomys tridecemlineatus contig126969, whole genome shotgun sequence.